rnacentral:rRNA from 1 species
UACGUAGGGUGCAAGCGUUGUCCGGAAUUAUUGGGCGUAAAGAGCUCGUAGGCGGUUUGUCGCGUCUGCUGUGAAAACUCGGGGCUUAACCCCGGGCCUGCAGUGGGUACGGGCAGACUAGAGUGCGGUAGGGGAGAUCGGAAUUCCUGGUGUAGCGGUGAAAUGCGCAGAUAUCAGGAAGAACACCCGUGGCGAAGGCGGCUCUCUGGGACGGUACUGACGCUGAGACGCGAAAGCGUGGGGAGCGAACAGG